rnacentral:rRNA from 1 species
UACAGAGGGUGCAAGCGUUAAUCGGAAUUACUGGGCGUAAAGCGUGCGUAGACGGUCAUGUAAGUCGGGUGUGAAAGCCCCGGGCUCAACCUGGGAAUUGCAUUCGAGACUGCAUGGCUAGGAUGCGGAAGAGGGAAGCGGAAUUUCCGGUGUAGCGGUGAAAUGCGUAGAUAUCGGGAGGAACACCAGUGGCGAAAGCGGCUUCCUGGUCCAGCAUCGACGUUCAGGCACGAAAGCGUGGGGAGCAAACAGG